UUAUAUUUUUUGGUUUUAAAUUUAAAAUUUAGAUUAAAAGGGAAGUUGGUGAAAGUCCAACACGAACCCGUCACUGUAACAUGGAGUAUAUUCUAGAUGUACCACUGUUAAGUUAUUUAAUGGGAAGGUUAGAAUAUAUGUUGAUAUGAAGUCAGGAGACCUGCCAAGAAAUAUG
rnacentral:ncRNA from 1 species